AGCAUGCUGCAUGCUCUCCACGCGCUUCGAGCGGUAACAUUUGUAGCUUGCUAGAAGAUGACGAGCGGCGGACGGGUGAGUAAUGCUUGGGAACAUGCCUUUAGGUGGGGGACAACCAUUGGAAACGAUGGCUAAUACCGCAUAAUGUCUACGGACCAAAGGGGGCUUCGGCUCUCGCCUUUAGAUUGGCCCAAGUGGGAUUAGGUAGUUGGUGAGGUAAUGGCUCACCAAGCCGACGAUCCCUAGCUGGUUUGAGAGGAUGAUCAGCCACACUGGAACUGAGACACGGUCCAGACUCCUACGGGAGGCAGCAGUGGGGAAUAUUGCACAAUGGGCGCAAGCCUGAUGCAGCCAUGCCGCGUGUGUGAAGAAGGCCUUCGGGUUGUAAAGCACUUUCAGUUGUGAGGAAAGGUUAGUAGUUAAUACCUGCUAGCUGUGACGUUAGCAACAGAAGAAGCACCGGCUAACUCCGUGCCAGCAGCCGCGGUAAUACGGAGGGUGCGAGCGUUAAUCGGAAUUACUGGGCGUAAAGCGUACGCAGGCGGUUUGUUAAGCGAGAUGUGAAAGCCCCGGGCUCAACCUGGGAACUGCAUUUCGAACUGGCAAACUAGAGUGUGAUAGAGGGUGGUAGAAUUUCAGGUGUAGCGGUGAAAUGCGUAGAGAUCUGAAGGAAUACCGAUGGCGAAGGCAGCCACCUGGGUCAACACUGACGCUCAUGUACGAAAGCGUGGGGAGCAAACGGGAUUAGAUACCCCGGUAGUCCACGCCGUAAACGAUGUCUACUAGGAGUUCGGUUUUUCGGAACUGUCUUCCAAAGCUAACGCAUUAAGUAGACCGCCUGGGGAGUACGGCCGCAAGGUUAAAACUCAAAUGAAUUGACGGGGGCCCGCACAAGCGGUGGAGCAUGUGGUUUAUUUCGAUGCAACGCGAAGAAGCUUACCUACACUUGACAUCCAGAAGAACUUACUAGAGAUAGUUUGGUGGCCUUCGGGAACUCUUGAGAACAGGGGCUGCAUG
rnacentral:rRNA from 1 species